ACUUAAAUUGAAGAGUUUGAUCAUGGCUCAGAUUGAACGCUGGCGGCAGGCCUAACACAUGCAAGUCGAGCGGUAGCACAGAGAGCUUGCUCUCGGGUGACGAGCGGCGGACGGGUGAGUAAUGUCUGGGAAACUGCCUGAUGGAGGGGGAUAACUACUGGAAACGGUAGCUAAUACCGCAUAACGUCGCAAGACCAAAGUGGGGGACCUUCGGGCCUCAUGCCAUCAGAUGUGCCCAGAUGGGAUUAGCUAGUAGGUGGGGUAACGG
rnacentral:rRNA from 1 species